ACCCGCACAAGCGGUGGAUGAUGUGGAUUAAUUCGAUGCAACGCGAAAAACCUUACCUACGCUUGACAUGCCAGGAACUUUUCAGAGAUGGAUUGGUGCCCGAAAGGGAACCUGGACACAGGUGCUGCAUGGCUGUCGUCAGCUCGUGUCGUGAGAUGUUGGGUUAAGUCCCGCAACGAGCGCAACCCUUUUCCUUAGUUGCUACGCAAGGGCACUCUAGGGAUACUGCCGGUGACAAACCGGAGGAAGGGUGGGGAUGACGUCAAGUCCUCAUGGCCCUUAUGUGUAGGGCUUCACACGUCAUACAAUGGUCGGUACAGAGGGUCGCCAACCCGCGAGGGGGAGCCAAUCCCAGAAAACCGAUCGUAGUCCGGAUCGCACUCUGCAACUCGAGUGCGUGAAGUCGGAAUCGCUAGUAAUCGCGGAUCAGCAUGUCGCGGUGAAUACGUUCCCGGGUCUU
rnacentral:rRNA from 1 species